rnacentral:lncRNA from 1 species
AGGCAGCCGGGUGAGAACUGCCGAGAGACUGGGAGGGAAGGGGUUCCCUUCAGGAAGGGGUUCUGGUCUCCAAACCACCAACCCGGGGCCAGGCCCGCCCUGUCCACACCACAGGCUCCACGUCCACCAGUAUUUUGAAACAAAUGGCAGACAAGACAUUAUUUUACCUGUUUAAUUAGAAAGCCCUGUGCUGCCAGAUUCCCAGCACCCUCCACUGAUCUGGGAGACCUAUUGAUUGCUUAGCUCUCCCCACAAGACACAGCCGAGAGAAGACUUUAUCUUCCUCUAAUCAGACCUGCUUCCCUCAGAUCCAGUUCUGACAGCGCUGUUGCCUUCUGUUGCCCACUUCCAUCGCCGAAUGCUCAGCCGGCCAGGGGUACAGUGGGCAGCGCCAGCACCAGCCACGGUGAGCUGGAGGUCUGUGGCCCCAGGGAACUGCUGGGCUAACAGGAGAGGCGGCAUCUUCAUCAUCAGCACGCCUAGCAUCUGUCAGGACUACACCUUGUGCGAGUGCUGUGCCAAGUAUUCCAAAUACAUUCUCUCCUCCGAUACAUUAAUGUAAUUUACUUUUGUGUGUUAUGAUUCCCUGAUUAUUCGAUCUGUUGUUGCCUGCACCAGCCAUUUGUUCUCUAGCAUAUCACCUGUUCUGUUUUCUUCCCAGCCCGUGUUACAAUCUGAAAUCAUAUAUCUUGCUUUGCCUACUUGUUCACUGUCUCUGCCCCUGGACUGUAAACUCCCUGAGGGCUGGGGUUUUGCUUCUCUUCUUCGGUAGGAUCGCCAGCACCUAGAAGCACAGCCCGAGCACAUAGAAGGUUCUCAAUAAAUGUCGAGAAGGUUCAUCCACGGUGGCACAUAUUCCAGAAUUUCCUUCUUUUUCAAGGCUGAGUAGUAUUCCUUUGUAUGUACAUACCACGUUUUCUUUAUCCACACAUCUCUCAAUGGGCACUUAGGUUGUUCCCCCGUCUUGGCUGUUGUGGAUAAUGCUGCCAUGAACAUGGGGUGCAGAUGUCUCUUCAAAAUCCUGAUUUUGAUUCUUUUGGAUAAAUAUCCAAAAGUGGGAUUGCAGGAUCAUAUAGCAGUUCUAUUUUGAAUUUCUUGAGGAAGCCCCGCACUGUUUCCCAUUUUGCAUUCCCAGCAACAGUGUGCAAGGGCUCCAAUUUGUCCACAUCCUCGUCAAGAUUUGUUGUCUUCUUGUUUGUCAGGGGUGGAUCUCCUGUUAAAUGUUCUCACCACAACAAAAUGGAAUUUUAAAUAAAGAACCGUGUGCUGAAUUUCGUUUAUCAGCUUGACUCCUCCCAGCAGCUCUAUCAGCUCACUAGUCUUAUGCCCAUUUUACAGAGGAGGAAACUGAGGCACAGGGAGGAAAAGCGAUUCACACAAAUGUCCCACACAGGAAGCUACAGGGCAGGGAUUGAACCUGAGUCUUCCUAACUCCAUUGAGGGCUCUGAACCUGGGGCCCAUGAGCCUGUAACCUCGGAGUCAGUGAACUUGGAUGGGAAAAAAACAUUCCCUCUUAAUUCUCCUGACAUCUAACUGAAACGUUGCAUUUCCUUCCACCAUGAAUGCAGGCGACGAACUGGAGAAGCGUCAGCAGCCCCCGUGACUUUGCCACCAACUGGAAUCAAAGAUAUUUUCAUGUCCCAUUACAUUUGUCACAGUUAUCAUGGAAUAUCAUUUACACUCAUCACUGCCUUGAAAUUACAACCAUAAUAACAUAGCCGACCCACCACGGGGUCUUGUUACGUGGUGUGUUAAUAAAGCACACGUACUGCUGUAUCACACUUGGGCUUUGUAAUACUUUGAUAACUCUUUUUCAAUAUAACUGGUUGCCUGAAAUAAGCCAGACAGAGAAAGACAAAUACUGCAUGGUCCAUUUAUAUGUGGAAUCUAAAAAAAAAAUAAGAAAGGUCAAACUCAUAGAAACAGAGUAGAAAAGUGGUUGCCAAAAACUUUGGGCUGGGGGCGACGGGGAGAUGCUGCUGAAGGGUACAGACUCUCAGUUGUAAGAUGAGUAAGGUCUGAGGAUCUGAUGCACAGCAUGGCGACUAUGGUUGAUAACCCUGUAGUGUAUAAUUGAAAUUUUCUAAGGGAGUAGAACUUAAAUGUUCUCACCCAAAAAAAGAAAAAGGUAAAUAGGUAAAUAUAUGAGGUGAUGGACGUGUUAAUUAACUGAAUGAGGGGAAUCCUUUCAGAAUGUGUACGUAUAUCAAAUCAUCACGUUGUACACUUUAAAUAUCUUACAAUUUUGUCAAUUAAACCUCAAUAAAACCGAAAUAGUUGUAUAUAUUUGGUUGCGUUCGCAAUCCUUUGGAUUCUAUAGUAAAAGACAUCACUCUGAGAAGGGGCCCAGGCACAGAAGAGAUUAAGAACCAGGCUCUGGAGCCGCGCUCUGACCGCGGACUGACAGUGAGCGUGUACAGGCACCCUGAGCGGUGUGGCACCUCUCCUCCCUUCGAGGAUAGGGACAGUGAGGCCCAGGGUGGGAAAGUAACUGGGUAGACACAAAGGGAGGUAGGGCCUGGGUCUGAGCUAGAAUAUGGGUUUUCUGUUCCCAGCCCAGCACCUUUGCAGCUGUACCACACUGCCACCUAGGGACACAAGGUAUUUCCAACCUGCCGCAGCCCCAAAGUUUGUGGUCUGUAGCCCAGGGGAUGGGCCUCUCGGAGGCUCUUUGUACAGUGUACGAGGGCUCUGGUUCAGUGUGCAGCAGCAACUUGCGUUCACUCGUUCAUGCAAAACACUCAUCAUUCGCUCACAAACUGCCAGUAGGGAUGCAAAUCAGGUCAGCCACCUUGAAAAGCAACUGGGCAGAGCCAAGCAAAAAUGGGGUUGUGCAUCUCAUUUGACUGAAUGAUCCUGCCACCUCCACCCCCAGUGGACACCCCAGAACAGCAGGUCUCAACCCUGGAUGAACAGUCAAACCACCUGGAAGCUUCUAAAACCACUGGAGCUAACCUCCAGAUCAGUCAAUUGAAAUCUUUUAAGAUUUCAGAAAAUCUUACAAUCUUAAGAAAUAAAGAAUCUUGGUGGAGGCGGGCGGGGCAUUGGUGUGAUUGUAAAAGCUUGCAGGUGAUGUUGCCUCUAGCCAAGCUGAGAAGCACUGGCCUCAGGAAUCCCUCCGUGUGGGCGCAUGAGGUAAGCUAACGGAAGUGCUGUUGGCAUAGCAAGGAAGUAGACACAACCAAAACUUCCGUCAAUGCACAAAUAGCUUGAAAAAGAAAAAUGAUGCAAUGCUACACAGAAGCUAAGAGACAAUUGACUAGAUCUACAUGCACCAGGAAGGGUUGGUGUCAGAAAUACAUUGUUGGGUGAGAAGAAUCAAGCUGCAAAAUAUACAAGACAGGCAUAUCUUUGGGUUUUUAAAACAAUAUAAAGACACAUACAAAUGUGUGUAAAAGGAUUUUAAGGUCCUUAAGGAUACAUACCACGUUCAUAACAGUGAGGGGUGGAAAUAAGGGAUGGAGGCUAAAGGGACUUUUGCUUGUAUUCUUUUUUUUUUUUUUUAGAUUUUAUUUUUCCGGGCCUCCCAGUGGCACAGCGGUUGAGGGUGCACAUUCCGCUUCGGUGGCCUGGGGUUCUCCAGUUUGGAUCCCGGGUGCAGACAUGGCACUGCUUCACAAGCCAUGCUAUGGUAGGCGUCCCACAUACAAAGUGGAGGAAGGUGGGUACACAUGUUAGAGCUCAGGGCCAAUCUUCCUCAGCAAAAAGAGGAGGAUUGGCAGUAGUUAGCUCAGGGCUAAUCUUCCUCAAAAAAAAAAAAAGAUUUUAUUUUUCUUUUUUCUCCCCAAAGCCCCCUGGUACAUAGUUGUAUAUUUUUAGUUGUGGGUCCUUCUGGUUGUGCUAUGUGGGACGCUGCCUCAGCAUGGCUUGACGAGCGGUGCCAUAUCCACGCCCAGGAUCCAAAGCGGUAAAACCCUGGGCCGUCACAGCAGAGCGCGUGAACUUAACCACUCGGCCACGGGGCCGGCCCAUGUAUUCUUUUUUAAGGAGGAAAAUGUAUUUAUAUUUUACGCAAGCAAUUAAAAUUGAUUCUAAAAAUUAGUAUUUUAAAAAAUAUUCCAGUGCCUUCUAUGGGUUGUACUAGAUACAGGGGAAAUGAACCCAAAUAGGAGACUUCACAGAAGACACAGUCCAGAGGAGGAGAAAGACAAGGCGACGAGAAUGCAGUAUUUGCAGAGGGGAAGAGCUGUGGACGAUGCAAGGAGUUCCUUCCCGUUCUGGUCAGCGAUUACUGCAAAACAGACCAUCCCAAUGCUUAGUGGCAUAAAAUAGCCAUUUUUUUAUGCUUAUGGAUUCUUUGGGUCAGGAAUUCAGACAGUGUAACUAGGGAUGUUCCAUGAUGUCUGAAGCUUCAGCUGAGAAAUCUGAAGGGUUGGGGGGGACUAGGUGGCCAUCUGGAAUCAUCUUGUGGUUGAUGCUGGCUGUUGGCCGGGCCCUCCACUGGGCUAUUGUCCAGGACACCUACAGGCCUCUCCAUGAAGUGUCUCCACAUGGGCUAAUUCGAGCUUCCUCACAGCCUGGGAUUGGGUCCCAAGGGAAGAUGGAAGUGUGUGGUGAUUUUGCACUCCAGCCUCAGGAGUCACAUAGCAUCACUUCUGCUGUACUGUUUGGAUGGAAGCAGUCACAAAGCUAUGGCCAAAUUCAAGCAGACAGGACAUAAGUCCCACCCCUCAAUGGAAGGAAUGUCAAGGUCAACUUGUGAGAAGAGCAUGUGGGAUGAGAGACAUUGUUGCCGCCAUCUUUGGAAAAUGCAAUCGGCUACACUAACCCAUCCCUUGGGGUGGAUGGAAAGGUGAUGUCAGACAGGGCUUCCUGGACAAAGUGAUGUCCGAAGAUGAGACUUAAAGGAUGACUAGCACUUGCCCUGGAUCAUUCUGUGCAAAGGAAACAACAGCAAGGUCAAAGUCCUAGAGGAAAAAAUGAGGGCGUGGCCACAUGGCCUACUUAGGAAGCUGGUCUUUGAGUUGGGCUGGAGGAAGGGAUGAAAGAUGAGGCCAAGAAGUGGGCAGGAGCCAGAUGGUGUAGGAUAUCUCAUGCCAUGUUGAGGAUUUUGGCUUUGAUCCUCAAGGCAAUGGGAGUCACUGAAGUGUGUAGAGCAGGGGACUGUUGCUGUCACAUUGUAUCCUCUUGGGUGGCAAAUGAAGGAGGUGCACAAGAGAGGAAGCAAAGAGGCCAGCUAGGCCUCACCAUGGUCACCAGGUGAGAGGUGACAGUGGCAGUGGACAUGGAGAGAAGUAGGACAGAACCGAGAGAUGCUUUGGAGGCAAAACUGACGGAUUUGACAACGAAUUCUGUGUGGGGAGUAAGGAGUCCAAGAACAUAUACCAUCAAGUGGGCAGCGUCUGGCCCUUCAUGUCCAGGCCCGGGGGCCUAAUCUCAGGUCUGCAUCCUUCCAUGUUUUCCCUGGCCCAGCACCCUCUGGAUCAACAAAACUCUGGCUAAAGAAGGGGCCUUCCAGCAAGAAGAAGGAUGCUGACAUUCAACAUACCCCAUCAAAGACCAAAAUGAUUGUCUUGGCUCACCCUACCCAAGUCCCUUGUGCCCCAAAACGCAUUAUCCCACCACGGCACCAGGUGACAAUUAGUGGGAGAUCAUAUAGACAGCUCCUGAUUGAAUGUAAUUUCCCUGACAUGGAGCAUCGUGAGUCAAUUACUCUGAGUAACUCAAAUUUAGCGCCUUGACACUCCACCCCCUAAGAAAGCAACUCCUUCUUUCCAUAUGUCUUUCUUUCUUCCCAGUGAAUAAAUUGUGAGCGGUUUGUUUACAGGGACCAGGAUCUUUUCGUUAAUGAUUAAAGAAGCAGGUCUGUUUACCCCAUUAGCGGUGAUCACAAGUGGUUUCCACAGAAGUGGGAUUGGACUAAUACCCACCCAGGUAUUAGUUCAAGGAGUGGAGUGUCCCACCCUAGGCCUGGGGACCCACAAAUCCAGACCCCCUCAGGACAGAACUCCCAAGGACCAGCCAUAUUAGACAUGCUGCUUCGGCCCACAGCUCUGAUGUAUGAACCCUCAUCCCUGAUUCCCUCAUGCAAGAACAAGUACACAAGAAACAAAAAUACAGAGUGUGAAGAGGGUGAGAAGUCCAUCUUCUCACCAGGGAAAAUUUCCGAUGAAGAAGCAGAGAAGGAUUCCCAGGAGCGAGGGGAGGGAGAAGGAGUGUUGCAAAUGUAAACAGCCUUGUUGAGAAGGUGACUGUUGAGAAAGCCUGAAGGAAGUGAGGGAGGAAGCCAUGAGGAUGUCUGAGAAGAGCAUUCCAGGCAGAGGAGAGAGCAAGUGCAAGUGUCCUGGGGCAGGAGGGGGCCUGGUAUGUUGGAGCAACAAUGGGCUUGGUGCAGCUGGGGAGGUGGGAGGGAGAGAAGAGAAGUAGGAGGUGAGGUCAGAGAGGUGAUGGAGAGCCAGAGGGCAUGGGGAAAAGACUUGGCUUUAAUUCUGAAGGAGAUAGGAAGUCAUUGGAGGUUUAAAAGAUGGCUCUAGGGCCUGGCCUGGUGGUGUAGCGGUUACGUUCAUGCACACUGCUUCAGUGACCCAGGGUUCACUGGUUUGGAUCCUGGACACAGACCUACACACCACUCGUCAAGCCAUGCUGUGGCGGCAUCCCACAUAGAAGAACUAGAAGGACUUACAACUAGGAUACACAGCUGUGUACUGGGGCUUUGGGGAGAAAAAAAAAAAGAGGAAGAUUCACAACAGAUGUUAGCUCAGGGCCAGUCUUCCUCACCAAAAAAAAGCAUAAAAAAAGACUUGCUGAGGAGACAGCAAGUAUGAAAAAAAAAAUAGAUGGCUCUAGUUGCUGCUGCUGCCGCUGCUGCCAGUGAUGAUGCUGGUGAUGGACUUUCCUAUUGGAGUUUUGGUUUCCUUUCUUACAUUUCCUCCAGCAUCUAAUCUCUUCCUCUGGUACCCUGGUGGCUCCUCGGGAGGCCCCCAUUUUGAAGAGCUUUGGGCUCUGACCUACUCCGAAUGAAUUUUAAGACCUAUUUCUGGAGAAUACCACCACAUUUAUUUGGUGUCUUCCAGCCCCACUCUGCAGACCACUGCUUCCUUUGCAAAUUCUACAUUUGUCUCUGUUUUAAAAAGUAAAAUCCUAUCUCCCUCCGGUUUUCCAUUGAAAUAGGAAUUGCUGCCACUUUCCAACUUCUAACCAAAAUCUGGAACUUCUUACAGUCCCGGCUGAGCGCCGCUUCCCUUCUCCCACCUCCCCCUUCUGCUGGCAAACGGAUGCCUCUGACCAGGGCCCUCUCCUUGUCACCUCCUCCCUCCUCCAGUCUUGGACCUGCAUCUCAGUUUGGGGACGUCUCCUGCCACUUACUCACCCCAAAGGCCCCAUGAGAUCCAGCACCAGCUUGCAGUCCCACCCAACAAGCUCCUCUCCUGUGCCACUAACCCACCUCCCUUCUUCUAGAAUAGGUGUGUGGGGCUGGAUGAAUCCUGUACUGAAAAGAGCCCAGCACCAGGUGAGAUACAUUUGGGUCCAAAUCUUGCCUCUGACCCAAUUAGCUGCGCAGCCUCAGGCAAGUCACUUCACCUCUCUGAGCCUGCCCUUUCAAACCACUAUUCCACAUUCGCCACUGGGUCUUGUAUUUGAUAUUCCAAUAGGCCACGCCUCUUGGUGCCCCAAGGCAGACCACAAAAGUCCUAGAUUUCACAUGCCAGAUGAGGAGAAAUAAAUAGUCUUUAACCGUCCCACUCUGCCUUGUUAAAAGAGAGUUCCUAAUAGGCUCCAGCACCUGCAGGCAGGGUCUCUUAACACAAGAUCUAAGUCAAUUAACUGAGAAGGAGAGAAUCAAAGCAAUGUUGUCACUGGGAUGCUUGGUCCUCAAGCCAACCUACGUAAGAGGAGUCUAAGAAAAGAAAGCACAUUUGCCUUGGACCUCCUGCACGUCAACAAAGCACCUAAUGCAGCCCAGGGUACAUGGAAAGACUUCCACAGGAAGCCGGGAGCUGGCCAGGCAAAGGGAGGAAGGAGCAUGAAGGCAAGGCGUGUUCCAGGGCCUGGAGGUCAGAGGGCACUUGCUCCUAAGAGAUGGGUCCGUUCCCCAGGCUGCAGGGACCCUUUAAUCACGAUGAGACUCUUGAAUCUUCACCCCCACCCCCGGUCUCUCCCCUGGAUGCCAGACCCAGGAUGUUUACUUUGGCAUCACAAACUCAAGUGGUCACAGCCAGCUCUUGAUGGUUUUCUUCCCCCAGGCUGUCCUUUUUCCACUUUUCCCACUUUCUCAGGUCAAACAUCUGACCUCAGAGCCUGUGCAUGUAAUCACCCCACACGAAUUUUCAGGGGGGUUGCUGCCAGCUGGCACCCCAACUUCAAAGAGGCCUGAGUCCUGCAGCGAUAGGGCAGGCCUAAAGGACAGAGAAGGACAUGGUGCACCUGGUGCAAGUCAGCAAACAAGGAGAGGAGGUGAGAGAUGGGGGCAGAGCAACAGGGGGAUGACCAGCCAGGGCUCUCAGAUGUCAUUCCUUUCAGGACGCCUCCCAAAGCCUCCCAAGGGUCUGCCAAACUCACAGAGGCCUGGUAUGAAGUGUGUCAAUAAUUUCUUGUGGUUGUUAUUGCUGUUAAAAAAAAAAAUGUUUUUAAACAACGAAGAAUAUGAUACGCUGCAGGUCAGAGGCAUCCCACCAAGAAAGAGCCCCUGAGGCAGAGAAAGCUGGGAGUUAGCAGAAAGCCUAACUUUGAGACCUCCUCAGACACGGGGCAGAGGCGGGGGCGGAAGAAGGGACAUUUGGGGGAUUUUAUUCAGAUCACAAGGCACAAAAAGGCCCCCAGAUGACAUCUGUCUACACUAAGAAGGGACGGGGCAGGGAAUAAUAAUACUAGAAACAGGGUAAUAAUAUUAGAAAUGCUAGUAAUAGAGGCAUUCCUGCAGGCCCAAAGGUCUCUACAAUCAGCUAGAAAGAUAAAAGCAAUCUUGACUUAAAAAAGGUAGUUCCAGUUAUUCUCAUGUGUAUGUGUGUAUACAUGAUACAUAUCAGCGGGAAUAUGCAUGUGCAUGUUUCUGCAUAUCAGUAUAUCUGAUAUAUUAGUGUGUAUGUAUACACAAUGUAUACGUGUAUCCGCAUGUAUGCUAUACAGCAGUGUGUAUACAUGCUACAUAUCAGUAUGUGUAUAUGUGUGCCUGCAAUGUGUACACAUAUAUAAACAUGUAUGUAUAUAUAUGAAUAUGAGCAUCUAUGAUCUAUAUCAGUGUGCAUGUAUGAUAUAUAUCAGUGUGUGUAUAUACGUGUGCAUACGAUACAUACCAGUACGUGCAUGUGUAUAUGUGUCUGCAUGAUAUAUAUCUAUGUAUACACAUGUGUGUACACAUAUAUGUGUGUAUAAAUAUCACCAUAUAUGAUGUGUGUAUAUGUAUGCAUAGUAUCUAAAGCAGUGUGUAUAUAUGUAUCAGUGUAUCUGUGUGUGCAUACGUGUGUACAUGAUACAUAUCAGUGUGUCUGUGUGCACAUAUGUGUGUACAUGAUAUAUAUCAGUGUAUCUGUGUGUGCAUAUGUGUGUACAUGAUAUAUAUCAGUGUGUCUGUGUGUGCAUACGUGUGUACAUGAUAUAUAUCAGUGUGUCUGUGUGCACAUACGUGUGUACAUGAUAUAUAUCAGUGUGUCUGUGUGUGCAUACGUGUGUACAUGAUAUAUAUCAGUGUAUCUGUGUGUACAUACGUGUGUACAUGAUAUAUAUCAGUGUGUCUGUGUGUGCAUACGUGUGUACAUGAUAUGUAUCAGUGUAUCUGUGUGCACACGUGUGUACAUGAUAUAUAUCAGUGUAUCUGUGUGCAUAUGUGUGUACAUGAUAUAUAUCAGUGUAUCUGUGUGCAUAUGUGUGUACAUGAUAUAUAUCAGUGUAUCUGUGUGCAUAUGUGUGUACAUGAUAUAUAUCAGUGUGUCUGUGUGCACACGUGUGUACAUGAUAUGUAUCAGUGUGUCUGUGUGCACACGUGUGUACAUGAUAUAUAUCAGUGUAUCUGUGUGUACACGUGUGUACAUGAUAUAUAUCAGUGUGUCUGUGUGCACAUACGUGUGUACAUGAUAUAUAUCAGUGUGUCUGUGUGUGCAUACGUGUGUACAUGAUAUAUAUCAGUGUAUCUGUGUGUACAUACGUGUGUACAUGAUAUAUAUCA